AUGCUGGGUAGAGAUUAGGCAGCCCCAGGAAGAGGAGAAAAAAGAAAAAAAAAAAAACAUGUAAAAAGACCCAAAGCCCAAAGUUCACCAAACUGACGCUGAUCUCAUUUUGCAGAAGUCAGCCCGUUCUCCCCUCUCUGAGAGUGUUACUGUGCUUAAUAAGUCUCUUGCUGCUUUGCUACAUGUGUGUGUGUCACUUCCAAUUCUUUGUUAAAGACACCAAGAACCUGGGACUUCACAACACCAGCCGGUAACAAAGAUCUCUGUAAGACACAAAAGUUGGAUGACAGUCGUUUUGAUUCUUGGACUUUACUAGAGACUCCAAAGACGCAUCUGAGGAGAAAAGCUCUGGGUCCCUGGGAUGACUGUGCCACUCGACAUAGCCUCCUGGAGUGGCCAAAGAGAGUGUGGAUAAGAAAAGAAAUAUUGGAGUGAACUUUCACUCACUCCCACUUCUGUAGGUUUCUUAAAAUAUAUGGGUUUAGAAGCAAGAUACUUGGCGUUUUCAAAUGACUCAAAAGAGAUGUAGAUGAAGAGAAGUUCGGUCAUCCCACAGAUCUUCCGGAGUAACCUGGACACAUCCCUAAAUCUCUAGCUCCUGGGUCUUCGAAAGCCUGUUUGCCUCAGGGUUGGGAGGAAAGGGUUUGGAAAGUACCAAGGCAAGGGUUGGCAAAAAGAUUACCUCAUCAGUGAGGAAAUGAAAUUUCCAGAAGUUUUCGCCAGAUCUGGGACCAGAGACAAAUGCUGGAUGAAUUUCCUAUGCAAACCUCUUUUAGAACCACCGCUUCAAAGGCCGUCCAGAGACUUCAAAUUAGAUCUGGUGAAACUGCUCCCGGUAGGGGAUUGGUAGUUCAGCGGUAGAGGUUUUUGUCUCCCACGCCGGCGACUCCGGUACGACUCCCGGCCAUGCAGGACUUCUUACCCUUCCGGCAGGAAGGGCUACUACGUUUCUACCCAACGAAGUUAUUAUAUUAUACAGGCUGUACUGCAUUUAUGGACCUUGGUCGUGGCAGCUAGAAGCUAACCUGAGGGGCGUGCCACCUCUGGAGCAUUCUCUGUGCUCGAACUAAUAAUCCCGGAAUUUACGUUCCUGUGCUCGAAGCCUGUCCUUGAAAGUGGGGAGUGUUUCCGGUGGGUUGCUGCAGUUUUAAAUACUGGGAAUUAAAACCUUUGCUACUUUCAUCUAGUCUCCCGGCAAACCCCUGGGUAACCCAAAGCCCAUCAGAGGGAUUCGCGUGCUGGGCUUUCCGCUACGUUAGGCCACGUCUCACUAUGGAGCGAGGAUCAAGAAGGUCCGGGAAGGAGAGAAGCUGCGGGGUCCAGGGAGACUCUUCGGCGGUUGGUCGGAGAGGUUUCAGCGGCCCAAGGAAAAGGGAAGCGUGUGGGAAUCUAUCCGCGUAGAGAUGAGGGGCGCGGCGGAGACAGUCCCACGCAGAGGUAUGCCCAAACACCGAGUUACUUAACCUCCUCAACCACCUUGGCAUCCGCGCCUUCCGUGGGCCCGUCGGUCUUCCGGGAGAGAUUCUGUGUCCCUGGUAUUGUGUGUCAACAGGUGUUAGCCUGAUAGUUAUAUUUUUAAUGAGAGAAAACGAACUACAGAAUUUGCGAGUUUUGCUUUUUUUCUGGUUUUGCUUUAUACCUCUUGGAUUCUCCUUCCAAAGGAU
rnacentral:lncRNA from 10 species